CUAUCUCACGGUACUGCACAAUAGCCGACGAGAUUCAGUUCAAGUGAGAUCAAAUUCACUUGGUUAAAUGAUUUUUUAUGGCGCAGUGCAACACCCUGUUGGCGGGAAUGGGACGCUUGUGGCGACAGUCUGGGAUCAACUAGGAGGUCUAUGUCUUUGGAGACCACUUUUAGGUCUUCGUAAUAGUCAUAAAUGUCACUGUUUUAUAGCGUCUUUUUUUCAGUAUAUUCCCACUCUGAUGUUACUGACA